AACGGCCAUACCGCGCUGAAUAUACCGGUUCUCGUUAGAUCACUGAAGCUUAGCACCGAUCACCGCAUCAUCGGGCGCGGUUAGUACUUGUGUGGGUGACCAUCUGGGAACACCGCGUGCCGUU